UGGGGAAUCUUGCGCAAUGCGCGAAAGCGUGACGCAGCAACGCCGCGUGGGCGAAGAAGGCCUUCGGGUCGUAAAGCCCUUUCAGCAGGGACGAAGCUCCGGCAGCGAAUAGCUGUCCGGAGUGACGGUACCUGCAGAAGAAGCCCCGGCUAACUACGUGCCAGCAGCCGCGGUAAUACGUAGGGGGCUAGCGUUGUCCGGAAUCAUUGGGCGUAAAGCGCGCGUAGGCGGCCAGAUAAGUCCGGUGUGAAAGUCACAGGCUCAACCUGUGAAUGCCGCUGGAAACUGUCUGGCUAGAGUCCGGAAGGGGCGAGUGGAAUUCCUGGUGUAGCGGUGAAAUGCGCAGAUAUCAGGAGGAACACCAAUGGCGAAGGCAGCUCGCUGGGACGGUACUGACGCUGAGGCGCGAAAGCGUGGGGAGCAAACAGG
rnacentral:rRNA from 1 species